CAACGGGUAACGAGGAAUUAGGGUUUGAUUUCGGAGAGGGAGCCUGAGAAACGGCUACCACAUCUACGGAUGGCAGCAGGCGCGCAAAUUACCCAAUGCAGACACUGUGAGGUAGUGACGAGAAAUAAUAAAGCGGGACUUCUGUUUCGCUAUUAUAAUGAGGAAUAACCAAAGGUCAUUCCGAUUAGCAACUGAUGGGAAAGUCUGGUGCCAGCAGCCGCGGUAAUACCAGCGUCAGUAGCAUAUAUUAAAAUUGUUGCAGUUAAAACGUCCGUAGUCUGUACGUCGUCCCAAACUCACUGCAGUCUUCCGUUUUCUUCAUUGAAUGCGGUAGUUUCUGCAGUCACUCCCUUGAUCAAAUUAGGUUGUUCAAGGUAGACCAAGUCUUCAUAUUUUCACAUGGAAUUGGGUGAGGGAACUUAAGAGUUUAAGUUUCUCGUCUUAGGAUCAUCCGGGGUCAUUCGUACUCGUCCGCGAGAGGUGAAAUUCUUGGACCGGACGAAGACGACCAGCAGCGAAAGCAUCUGUCAGGGAUGUUUUCUGCGACAAAGGACGAAGGUCAGGGUAUCGAAGACGAUUAGAUACCGUCGUAGUCCUGACUGUAAACUAUGCCAACUUGGGUCUUGCUGGGCGAUGCUUUGUGAGACCCACACAGAAAUGAAAGUGUAUGGGUUCUGGGGGUAGUAUGGACACAAGUCUGAAACUUGAAGGAAUUGACGGAAGAGCACCAUAAGACGUGGAGCUUGCGGCUUAAUUUGACUCAACGCGGGAAAACUUACCAGGUCAAGACAUGGGCGUGAUUGACAGGCUAAUGACUUUUCUCGAUUCCAUGGAUGGUGGUGCAUGGUCGCACUUAGUUGGUGCAGUGAUUUGUCAGGUUUAUUCCGGUAACGAACGAGACCUCGGCCUUGUAAAUAGCUAUGCUGCUUACAGGGACAUUGGCGGCUACGCCAAGGAAGCUCGAGGCAAUUGCAGAUCUGGAAUGCCCUUAGAUGUCCUGGGUCGCACGCGUGCUACAAUGACGCCACGAACGAGCUUGCAUGAUGAAAGUUAUGCAUAAUCAGCAGUCGGCGUCUUAAGGGAUAGUCUCUUGUAACUGUGGGACUCCAACUAGGAAUGUCUCGUAAGCACAAGUCAACAUCUUGUGUUGAUUACGUCCCUGCUCUUUGUACACACCGCCCGUCGCUCCUACCGAUCGAGUGUUUAGGUGAAUUUGAUGGACGUAAGGAAGUCAAAUAAACCUGAGCACUUAGAGGAAGGAGAAGUCGUAACAAGGUUUCCGUAGGUGAACCUGCGGAAG
rnacentral:rRNA from 1 species